rnacentral:rRNA from 1 species
GAUGAACGCUGGCGGCGUGCCUAAUACAUGCAAGUCGAGCGAAUGGAUUAAGAGCCUGCUCUUAUGAAGUUAGCGGCGGACGGGUGAGUAAUACGUGGGUAACCUGCCCAUAAGACUGGGAUAACUCCGGGAAACCGGGGCUAAUACCGGAUAACAUUUUGAACCGCAUGGUUCGAAAUUGAAAGGCGGCUUCGGCUGUCACUUAUGGAUGGACCCGCGUCGCAUUAGCUAGUUGGUGAGGUAACGGCUCACCAAGGCAACGAUGCGUAGCCGACCUGAGAGGGUGAUCGGCCACACUGGGACUGAGACACGGACCAGACUCCUACGGGAGGCAGCAGUAGGGAAUCUUCCGCAAUGGACGAAAGUCUGACGGAGCAACGCCGCGUGAGGGAUGAAGGCUUUCGGGUCGUAAAACUCUGUUGUUAGGGAAGAACAAGUGCUAGUUGAAUAAGCUGGCACCUUGACGGUACCUAACCAGAAAGCCACGGCUAACUACGUGCCAGCAGCCGCGGUAA